AGUGAACGCUGGCGGUGGGCCUAACACAUGCAAGUCGAACGGCAGCACAGUAAGAGCUUGCUCUUACGGGUGGCGAGUGGCGGACGGGUGAGGAAUACAUCGGAAUCUACUUUUUCGUGGGGGAUAACGUAGGGAAACUUACGCUAAUACCGCAUACGACCUACGGGUGAAAGCAGGGGAUCUUCGGACCUUGCGCGAUUGAAUGAGCCGAUGUCGGAUUAGCUAGUUGGCGGGGUAAAGGCCCACCAAGGCGACGAUCCGUAGCUGGUCUGAGAGGAUGAUCAGCCACACUGGAACUGAGACACGGUCCAGACUCCUACGGGAGGCAGCAGUGGGGAAUAUUGGACAAUGGGCGCAAGCCUGAUCCAGCCAUACCGCGUGGGUGAAGAAGGCCUUCGGGUUGUAAAGCCCUUUUGUUGGGAAAGAAAAGCAGCAGGUUAAUACCCCGCUGUUCUGACGGUACCCAAAGAAUAAGCACCGGCUAGCUUCGUG
rnacentral:rRNA from 1 species